rnacentral:rRNA from 1 species
CCCUUAGAUGUUCUGGGCUGCACGCGCGCUACACUGACCAGUGCAACAAGCAUCCGUCCUUGGCCGACAGGCUCGGGCAAUCUUUGAACGCUGGUCGUGAUGGGGAUAGACUUUUGCAAUUUUUGGUCUUCAACGAGGAAUUCCUAGUAAACGCAAGUCAUCAACUUGCAUUGAUUACGUCCCUGCCCUUUGUACACACCGCCCGUCGCACCUACCGAUUGAAUGGUCCGGUGAAGCCUCCGGAUUGGCGCGCACCUCGGUGCCGCCGAGAAGUUGGCUAAACCUUACCAUUUAGAGGAAGGUGAAGUCGUAACA